rnacentral:rRNA from 1 species
GACGAACGCUGGCGGCGUGCUUAACACAUGCAAGUCGAACGAAAAGGCCCUGCUUUUGUGGGGUGCUCGAGUGGCGAACGGGUGAGUAACACGUGAGUAACCUGCCCUUGACUUUGGGAUAACUUCAGGAAACUGGGGCUAAUACCGGAUAGGAGCUCCUGCUGCAUGGUGGGGGUUGGAAAGUUUCGGCGGUUGGGGAUGGACUCGCGGCUUAUCAGCUUGUUGGUGGGGUAGUGGCUUACCAAGGCUUUGACGGGUAGCCGGCCUGAGAGGGUGACCGGCCACAUUGGGACUGAGAUACGGCCCAGACUCCUACGGGAGGCAGCAGUGGGGAAUAUUGCACAAUGGGCGGAAGCCUGAUGCAGCAACGCCGCGUGCGGGAUGACGGCCUUCGGGUUGUAAACCGCUUUCGCCUGUGACGAAGCGUGAGUGACGGUAAUGGGGAAAGAAGCACCGGCUAACUACGU